AAAGGGAGACCUAAUUCAGGUAUAAGACGAAAAAAAAGUAGUCCCUACCAAGAAUCAAUCCCAAAAGGUCGGAACGAGGUAUGAGGCUUUCAAACUAGGUUCUGGGUUCAUAAAAGACCUGAAUCAGGAACAAGGGCUAUUAGCUCAGGUGGUUAGAGCGCACCCCUGAUAAGGGUGAGGUCCCUGGUUCGAGUCCAGGAUGGCCCACCUGCACAGGUGGCAAAAACAAGAGAAGCGAGGAAUCAGCACCUGCUCUUACCUACAUAGUAAGAGAGAAUGCUGGCUCUGAGUACAGAGUCCAGAGGAACCUUGAAAACUGCAUAGAGCUAGGUGAAAAAGCCAAAAAAGAAGACCGCAAG
rnacentral:tRNA from 1 species